rnacentral:rRNA from 1 species
UACGUAGGGUGCAAGCGUUGUCCGGAAUUAUUGGGCGUAAAGAGCUCGUAGGCGGUCUGUCGCGUCGGCUGUGAAAACUCGGGGCUCAACUCCGAGCUUGCAGUCGAUACGGGCAGGCUAGAGUUCGGCAGGGGAGACUGGAAUUCCUGGUGUAGGCGGUGAAAUGCGCAGAUAUCAGGAGGAACACCGGUGGCGAAGGCGGGUCUCUGGGCCGAUACUGACGCUGAGGAGCGAAAGCGUGGGGAGCAAACAGG